CCGGCGGAUGGCCUUGACCCAGUCGUCCAUGUCCGCCUGGGAGUUGGCCAUGAGCAGGACGGACUCAUGGCUGAUGGGGGUCCGGUCCUUCUCCCCGGUCCCACCUGAGGAGGAGGAGAAAGAGUGGAUCUUUUUUUAGGGGGGGGUUCUCACCCCUCUGCGAUGUUGACCGCCAUAAACCGAACACACAGACGCCGAGCGGCCCGACGGCCACGCCAAACACAAACACAGCAAACACUGACGGAGCGGGACGCUUCCUUCACGAAACCAGAAGAACCGACAGGAACUGAAGAUGACCCUCAGAGUCAAAGAACCCUGAGGUGAAGUGAGGGAGAACGGCGCCCUCUGCUGUCAGUAAACGGACCUGCACCUGCUGCAUGAAUGAGGAUCGGAGGAAGAGGAGGAGUCUCACCU